rnacentral:rRNA from 1 species
CUGCAGCCCGAGUGGUGGUCGAUUUUAUUGAGCCUAAAGCGUCCGUAGCCGGUUUAGUAAAUGCCUGGGUAAAUCGUGCCGCUCAACGGUACGACUUCCGGGUAGACUGCUAAACUUGGGACCGGGAGAGGCUAGAGGUACUCCUGGGGUAGAGGUGAAAUUCUGUAAUCCUAGGGGGACCACCAGUGGCGAAGGCGUCUAGCUAGAACGGGUCUGACGGUGAGGGACGAAGCCCUGGGGCGCGAACCGGAUUAGAUACCCGAGUAGUCC